rnacentral:rRNA from 1 species
AGAAAUCCGCCCUAAUACCGCAUGUGGCCGAGGGGAGGCAUCUUCUUUCGGCCAAAGGAGGCGACUCCGGAGACGGAUGGGCAUGCGUGACAUUAGCUUGUUGGCGGGGUAACGGCCCACCAAGGCGACGAUGUCUAGGGGUUCUGAAGGAAGGUCCCCCACACUGGUACUGAGACACGGACCAGACUCCUACGGGAGGCAGCAGUGAGGAAUAUUGGUCAAUGGGCGAGAGCCUGAACCAGCCAAGUCGCGUGAAGGAUGACGGCCCUACGGGUUGUAAACUUCUUUUGUCAGGGAGCAAUUGGGUCCACGUGUGGGCUUAGCGAGAGUACCUGAAGAAAAAGCAUCGGCUAACUCCGUGCCAGCAGCCGCGGUAAUACGGAGGAUGCGAGCGUUAUCCGGAUUUAUUGGGUUUAAAGGGUGCGUAGGCGGAAUAUCAAGUCAACGGUAAAAAUUCGGGGCUCAACCCCGUCGUGCCGUUGAAACUGAUGUUCUUGAGUGGGCGAGAAGUAUGCGGAAUGCGUGGUGUAGCGGUGAAAUGCAUAGAUAUCACGCAGAACUCCGAUUGCGAAGGCAGCAUACCGGCGCCCAACUGACGCUGAAGCACGAAAGCGUGGGUAUCGAACAGGAUUAGAUACCCUGGUAGUCCACGCAGUAAACGAU